rnacentral:pre_miRNA from 1 species
AUAGUACUCCCUCCGUCCGAAAAUACUUGUCAUCAAAAUGGAUAAAAAGGGAUGUAUCUAGAACUAAAAUACAUCUAGAUACAUCCCCUUUUAUUCAUUUUGAUGACAAGUAUUUUCGGACGGAGGGAGUACAUA